rnacentral:rRNA from 1 species
CAACUGGAUCCCUAGUACGGCGAGUGAAGCGGGAAGAGCUCAAAUUUGAAAUCUGGUAGCCUUCGGUUGCCCGAGUUGUAAUCUAGAGAAGUGUUUUCCGUGCCGGCCCAUGUACAAGUCCCUUGGAACAGGGCGUCAUAGAGGGUGAGAAUCCCGUCCUUGACAUGGACCCCCGGUGCUUUGUGAUACACUUUCAACGAGUCGAGUUGUUUGGGAAUGCAGCUCAAAAUGGGUGGUGAAUUCCAUCUAAAGCUAAAUAUUGGCGAGAGACCGAUAGCGAACAAGUACCGUGAGGGAAAGAUGAAAAGCACUUUGGAAAGAGAGUUAAACAGUACGUGAAAUUGUUGAAAGGGAAACGAUUGAAGUCAGUCAUGCUCUUUGGUAUUUAUAUCAUUGAGUGGGGUCAACAUCAGUUUUGAGCGAUGGAUAAAGGCACUAGGAAGGUAGCACUCUCGGGUGAACUUAUAGCCUAGCGUCAUAUACAUUGUUUGGGACUGAGGAACGCAGCAUGCCUUUAUGGCCGGGAUUCGUCCACGUACAUGCUUAGGAUGUUGACAUAAUGGCUUUAAACGACCCGUCUUG